rnacentral:rRNA from 1 species
UACGUAGGUGGCAAGCGUUGUCCGGAUUUACUGGGCGUAAAGAGCGCGCAGGCGGUCGAAUAAGUCGAAUGUGAAAGCCCCCGGCUCAACUGGGGAGGGUCAUUCGAUACUGUUCGACUUGAAGGCAGGAGAGGGAAGCAGAAUUCCCGGUGUAGUGGUGAAAUGCGUAGAUAUCGGGAGGAAUACCAGUGGCGAAGGCGGCUCACUGGCCCGUAACUGACGCUGAGGCACGAAAGCGUGGG